UACGGAGGGUGCGAGCGUUGUCCGGAAUCACUGGGCGUAAAGGGCGCGUAGGCGGCCUGGCAAGUCGGUGGUGAAAGCUCGGGGCUUAACUCCGAGUCGGCCAUCGAUACUGCGAGGCUCGAGUCGACUAGAGGCAGAUGGAAUUCCGGGUGUAGCGGUGGAAUGCGUAGAGAUCCGGAAGAACACCGGUGGCGAAGGCGGU
rnacentral:rRNA from 1 species